AAUCCGUGAUGAGGACAUUUGGUUUGAUAACCCUUGAGGCGCUCCCAAGCUUCAUAGAAGGUUUUAGUUUGCUUCUAACUGAAUCCGGAUAUCUCAUUCCGGAGUUU